CCCUUAGAUGUCCGGGGCCGCACGCGCGCUACACUGAAGGAAUCAACGUGUGUCCUCCCUGGCCCGGAAGGGUGGGGUAACCCGUUGAACCUCCUUCGUGCUAGGGAUUGGGGAUUGGAACUGUUCCCCAUGAACGAGGAAUUCCCAGUAAGCGCGAGUCAUAAGCUCGCGUUGAUUACGUCCCUGCCCUUUGUACACACCGCCCGUCGCUACUACCGAUUGGAUGGUUUAGUGAGAUCUUCGGAUUGGUCCUGGCGUGGCUGGCAACAGUCGUGCCACGGUGCCGAGAAGAUGAUCGAACUUGAUCGUCUAGAGGGAGUAAAAGUCGUAACA
rnacentral:rRNA from 1 species